UCAUAUGUUAACACUACUAACAAACCAUAAUCCACAUAAUGAUUAAUACACUCUUAAUUCCCGAACCUGAACCUGAACCUGCAAAAUAUAUACAAUAAAAAUUGCAUCUAGGCCAGGCUUAGGUGAUAUCUUGAAUUAUUGAGUAGGAAAUCAAGAUAUUUACUGUCAAAAUCAAAAUGCACAUACAUCAUGAAUGGAGGCAAUUCUAGAUACCUAGCUGAGCAGAAGAUUAUCAACUACAAAACCUGACCUUAGCGAUGCUUUCCAAGGCUUCCAAGCCAUCAAAACCUUUGAACACCUUUCAAGUUUUCAUUUACAAACCCUGGCUACAGCACAAUUGAUCCGUUACUUAUAAAUGACAACAAAAGAGAGAGAUGGCUAUCAAUGCAUUUCCAUUCGAAAUGUUCGCAUGAAAGGAUGCAGUUUCGAUAGUACAUUAGUUAAGUGCCUAGCUGAGCAGAAGAUUAUCAAAUACUGGAGCAGACCUUGCCAUGCUUUACAAGGCUUCCAAGCCAAACUUAUUUGAUCAAAACCUUUCAGCAUUUUUCAUUCAAAAACUCAGGCUACAGCAGAAUUGACCCUUGACUUACAAAUGGCAACAAAAGAGAGAAAUGGUUGACGAAGCUAGAUAACAAAUGUUUGUACUAAUUUAUUUUGAAAAGGUACAAUAAGGUUCAUAGUAGAAUGCUCUGCUGCAGGCUUUUCGUGAAUGCUCUGCUGCAGGCUUUUCGUGAAUGCUCUGCUGCAGGCAUUUCGUCUGCAACAGCUGACCAAGAGGAUGUGCUGGAAACCGGCAUGCCUUUGAGAAUGGUCUUGCAUUCACGGAAUACAGACAUGCCAUUGACAAUCAUCUUGCAUUCACAGAAUAAGAAACGAUAUUUCAAUGAGCUGUCCAGUAAAAUACUCCCUCCGUCCCAUAAUAUAAGAGCGUUUUGCAAGCUAUGUUAGCUUGCAAAACGCUCUUAUAUUGUGAGAUAGGAGGGAAUAUUUACCAUGCUGUAACUGAUAACUAGAGAUGAAGUGCCACUAAAGAAGUUUGAUACCAUCAACCUUCGAACUAAAACUGUGACACUUACUUUGGAACGGAGAGGGUAGAAAAGAAGUAUAGAAAAUAUCAGAUUGGUACAUGAUUUUUGUUUAGGAAGUGAUGAAGUAUAUGCAUCACAUCAACAUCUCACUUGGCUGAAUCUCACUCAUAUUCCCUUUUCUCUUGUCCGUACCGGCACAAGCCAGCACGCCGCCCAAGUCGCUGGCAGCAAAGACAGAAAUAGCUAACAAGCAGCACCCUCUGAGGCACAACAGUUGCAAGAGCAGGCACUUCAUUUGCACUCAAAACUCGUUUCACCUUGUCCUUGUCUAGGUUAAUUCUGACCACUACAUAAGUUACCAUCUUUGUACAAACUUUGACAGAUCUAAACUUUAUAAAUAAUCCAUAUCUCACAGCAACAGAAUACACCUCGUCGAAAGAACAAAAUAUAUGGAUCUGUGCUAUGAUAUUGCUUAAUACUGAUAAGCAUUUCAUUCAGAAGUGGGACGAAGAAUUCAAUACAAAAGGGUCAUAUAUCUAUAAAAACAGGGCUCUCUUCUCCACCGGUGCCAUUUACUUGAGAGAGCUGUCUCAAUGCAAACAUAAGACAUAUCAACAUCUCACCUUACUGAAUCUCACUCCUAUUCCUUUCUCUGUCCGUACUGGCACAAGCCAGCAUGCCGCCCAAGUCGCAAGCAGCAAAGACAUUUCUCCGUCCGUACCAGCACAAGCCAGCAUGCCGCCCAAGUCGCAAGCAGCCAAGACAGAAAUGCUAGCAGGCAGCCCGAUUAGGCCCAACAGUGGCAAGAGCUAGUACUCCGUUUGCACUUAAAACUUGUUUCACUCCGCCCUUAUGUAGGUUAAUUCUGACCACUACACAAGUUACCGAUUUGUAGCAAUUUGAAGAGAUACCUGAACUGUGUAUAAAUAAUCCAAAUACCACAACAGAAUACCCCUCACCAAAAGAACAAUAUAUAUGGAUCUAUGAUGUGAUAUUUUUUAAUACUGAUAAGCAUUUCAUUCAGAUGUGAGGCAAGGAAUUCAAGACGAAAGGGUCAUAUCUAAAAAAAAAACAGGGCUCUCUUCUCCACCAGUGGUGGCAUAUAUGAGAGAGCAAUUAAUAGGUCGCUGCAAAUAACUAAUUACUGAAUUAUCCAACAAAUGUUCAACCAAUAAUCAUCAUGUCCACUGGUGGGUGGUCGCACAUGGUUGACAGGGAUUAACUUACAAUGAACUGAUAACUUCAAGGCAUCCCGUAGGUAAAUUAUCAGAACACUAAGGAAACUAAAUAUGAUUUAUUCAAAUGAAAACUAGUCUUGUUUUUACCAGCACCCGAGAGUUUUCCAGCAGUAAGACCCCGUUUUACGGCAAACAGAGUCCACAUUUUUUGAUCAAAAUAAAGUGCAGCAUUUCAUGACAAUGGCGUGCAUCCUAGAGAAUAUAGAACCAGAAAACAAACAACUCCUUAAGGGAUCAAUGUAGCAAUACUGAAGGCAAUGAUGAGAUUACCUGAACUCUGAACAGAUUUAAAAAUUAUCAAUUUGUCAACCAAGGAAACAGUAAUCAGUUACCAAAGGAAACUACUAGCAAGAAAACAUUCCAAGAUAGGAUAGUAUACUGAC
rnacentral:lncRNA from 1 species